rnacentral:lncRNA from 1 species
AGGAUGUGCAGGCUCUGGAAGGAGCCCCACAAGAAAAGGAGUCCUGAACCACGGGAGGGUUUCUCAAGGGGACGCUACAACCAUUCACCAGCUCACCUUACUGACCAGGAGGCUUGGAUACUGAAUGUUUAAAACCCAUCC